UAUCCCCGCUGCACCCGGGUCCCUGGGUCCGGUGAUGGGGGGAGGCGCGACGUCUGGAGGGCGCAGGGGCGUGCGUGCAGAGUCCUGACAAGAAAGGACCUUCGGGGCCGCGUAAUAGCUGAGCAGAGACCGUUUGCACACGGUUACGGUGAAGGCCUCGGGGCCACGAGUCCAACGCCGGGCUCCUUGCGAAGCCUGGGCCACGUUGGAUGGCUUCGCCUGGCGUGACGUCACAGCCAGGAGCCCUCACGCUUUGUACGUGCUAAGGAGGGCCCUGAAUCGGGGGGCGGGGGCCGCGGAGCUCAGCCGCUCUCCACCUCGGCUGUGCCCCAGCUUUCCGGGCUUCUGGCUCCUCCUCUUCAGAAUAUAAAUCCAGACUGAAUGCCUGCUGACAAAGGAAGGAGGUGGCUUAUUCGCUCCCACUCAGAAUAAAUUUGCAGCGCAACGGAGAGCACUCCACGGGGACGGAAGCUGGAGGCUCUUUCCCACAUCCAGCUAAGGAAGCAGAUGUCUUGACAGCUUCCAGAUUCCGUGCCCCCUGCCCAGGAAUGCCUAUUAUAAAGUGGUUCUGUGCAAUCGGUCCCCUACCUCUGACCCUAACUGGGUGAGCUAGGUCAACCAGAAUCUUUCCAGGGGUUGUGGAUCUGGACGUCUCUCCAGGUAGCAGAGCUGUGACAUUUGAACCUCGGGCACUAUCUAGCUUUGUCUCCUGCUAAGGGGACAAAGCAGCAGAUGCAUCUGGCCUUGCAGGAGGCAGCAGAGGAGGAAACGCUGAGACGUACGUGAAGGGUCUGCGACGCUGUGACGCCAGCUUCCAGGACUCCUGAAGCCCCGUCGCAGCUUGCCUGUACCCAAAGCUUGCCUGGCCCUUUGCCCCAGGAUCCUUCCAGCAAAACCCGCUUUUUGUUUAACGGCUUCUGUCAUUUGCAAUCAAGAGUCCCGACAAAAACAACCAGACAACGCUGGUGUUAACUGUAGCUUUCAAAGCUACCUCAGCAGUUCCUACCAGAAUUUACUACAUACAUUCACUUAAGAGCGGUUUCCUUCUCAAGGGCCUCCUAGGUGCCACGUGCUGUGUUGAACACCAGAAUGAGAGAGAAACGGUAGGGGACUCUUCCUCAGCCAGAUCCUGGAGGCGGAGACAAGUGAACCCCACACUUGGCCCCAAGGGGUCAAGAACUGGAAGUAAGGGCUGCCUGACUUAGGGUAGCGUGUCUCCCUCUGGGCCAGUUUGCCCACCUUUAAAAUGCAGGGAUCGGACCAGUGGUUUUUAAACUGUAACCAGGGGGCCCCCAGAGUGCCGUAGGGCACUGAAGGGAAGGCUUAGUGGCCCCUGAGGCCUCUUCUACUUGCUCACCUGAGCAAGCCUGUUUUUAGAAAUCGGCUUCUGCGUCCAAUUUCUUCCGGAGAAAGAAUUCCUUUGCUUACGGAAAAGCGUGACCAGAUGCCUCUGGUCCAACCUGCCAGUAUUUCUAGCUUUAAGGUCCCCAUUCAACCAGGUUAGCCCUGCUCUCCUUCUCUGUGCUUAUCGUUAGGGACGUCCACUAAUAAAAGGUGAACUGUGUAAAUCUGAAAGAGCAAAAUGGACCGACAGCUGGGCAACUGGUCCCAAAAUAAAGGGUCCCUUCAUCGAAAA